AGCGUAGAGCAGGACAAAGCAGGGAAGGAGGGAAUCAGCCGACAAAUAGCACAGCUGCCUUAUUGCUGGCUGGGGGCAAGUUCAGGGGUGUGUUCUACACUGUCUGCGGGAGGUCCCCUGGGGCACUCUGUCCCACCCAGUGGCCUGCAGGAACAACCGCCUUUCCCUCCUCUGCCCUCAUUUCUCUUCCUGUUAGCAUCUUGCAGAUCGUGGUGGCUUCAAAGUAGCUGCAGCUUCCUUGUCAUUCCCCUCGCAGGGGGCAGGGAGGCGGGGCCGUCCCUACCCCCCACGUCUGCAAAGACACAUUGGAGUACCAGCCCCCACUGCCAGCGGGCGGACGGGACCUUGUUGGAGCCAGGCUGGUGGCUAAUGUCAUCAAGUUAAGGUACAAGGAAGAGCCACGCUUAAGCCAUACAGCCUUGAGCCUGAAGUAGGAUUUCUCCUGCCUGAUCCCAAAGACGAGAGGAUAUGUGGAACCUCAUGGCCUCUACUUGUAUGUGAUUGUGUUCCGAGGGGAGAGUGGUAGAGAAUUCCAGCGUUAAAAUAAGGAAGUAUAAUUUUUGUACAGUGAAACACACAUUUAAAAAAAACACAGCUUUUUUGAGGUCUAAUUGACAUCCGAUAAAUUGCAUGUAUUUAAAUGAUACAAUCUGAUCGGUUUUGACAUAUGCGUCCACCCAUGAAACCAUCACUGUAAUCAAGAUCAUGAAUAUAUCCACUGCCCCCCAAGGUUUCUCCGUGCCCCUCUGUGAUCCCUCCUGCCUGCCUCUCCCUGUUCCCCAUCCCCAGGCAACAGCUGAUCUGCUUCCUGUCACUGUAGACUAGCUUGCAUUUUCUAGAAUUUAAUAUAAAUGGAAACAUGCAGUAUGCACUCUCUGGCUUCUUUUACUAGGCGUGAUUAUUUUCAGAUUUAUUCGUCUUGUGUAUUUGUUCCCUUUACUGAUGAGUUGUACCCCACCGUGUGGAUAUACCACAAUUUGUUUAACCACUCAUCCGUUUGUGGAUAUUUGGGUUGUUUCCAGUUUUUGGUUCUUACAGAUGAAUCUGCCAUGAACGUUUGUGUGCCUGUAUUUCCAUCUUUCCCAGGGAGGCAUCUGGGAGAGGAAUGCUUAGGUCAUCUGUAGGCACCAUGCCCAGCAUGGAGCCCAACGUGGGGCUUGAACUCACAACCCUGAGACUGAAACCUGAGCUGAGAUGAAGAGUCAGCCGCUUAACCCACGGAGCCGGCCAGGCGCCCCAGAAACAUGCUGGUUUUGGUUGGGCUUGAACUCACGACCCUGAGAUCAAGAGUCUCAUGUUCUGCUGAAUAGAGCCAGCCCAGCGCUCCAUCCCUGAAUUCAUCUCGGGAUGUCCAUUAAGAAAUCCGUCUGCGACGUCAACAGCACGAAAACCCUGCACAGAUCAAAACCCUUCUCUAGCUUAAAGGU